rnacentral:lncRNA from 1 species
GUUUGCUACAAGAGAUGUCCAGGAGUUAUGAGGUGGGAAAGCAUCUCUCUCACACAUCCCUAGGUUUUCCACUUCAUUUAUUCUGGUCUAGGAGAAAACAGCAAAAGGACGACCAGGAUCUGAACGAGAUAUCACCCUUCCUCAUUUGCAGGGUCCGGCCGAUAGGACUAAAGCAAGGACGCUAUGAGUGGCUAAAGAAGAUUAUCCCCCUCUCUCUCCUUCUCUCCCAGGACCCAGCCAAUGAGAUUGUGUCAAAAUGAUAUUCAAAACUAGGAGGCACAGAGGGAACAGGGGCUGCCUGCCUGGGCCCGACAAAUAGGUUGAUGAAGCCCCUCUCUCUUUUCCUGGUCCAAAGAGCAGAUCACAUGACCAAUGAGACCCUUUCCAUCUCCCUGGCCCUAGAAGCCAUAUCACUUGCUGCUUCUAAAAGAUCACCAGGAGGAGAGGUUGUGGCAAAUACCUUUGGCUGGCAAUAUCUUGGCAAGAAGUUGAGACGAUUAUUUGGAAAGACAAAAGGAAUAUUAAAGAUGGAAGACGACCUUCUCUCCGUAGACCAAACUAGCAAAUCCACCGGGGGCAACUCUCUCUCCCUCCCUCCCUUUGCCUUGGCUGUCAAGAUUAUGAUGAGGAAAUAAGAGUCCUGAAGGUCCAGUGGAUGGCCUAGAAUGCAGUGGAUGGCCUUGAUGUCUUAUAUGAUCAAGUUCCGAGUUCUCCACAGCGCCUUCUUCAGCGGUCUUCAUGGCCAUUGGGAUGACUCUCACCUCCCCCUUCCAUUAGGGAAGUCUUCACGUGUUUGGGAGUACACUCCCCCCCAACAUGGUGAUGGGUCUGAUGCCUUCAAUUACUCUCACCUGGUUCCGCCCAUUUGCAGAGACAAUUUUACUGGGGUGUAGCUGCUGUUCACGCAACAACUCCUUGGAGCUACAG